ACACACGGCGGGUGCUAACGUCCGUCGUGAAGAGGGAAACAACCCAGACCGCCAGCUAAGGUCCCAAAGUCAUGGUUAAGUGGGAAACGAUGUGGGAAGGCCCAGACAGCCAGGAUGUUGGCUUAGAAGCAGCCAUCAUUUAAAGAAAGCGUAAUAGCUCACUGGUCGAGUCGGCCUGCGCGGAAGAUGUAACGGGGCUAAACCAUGCACCGAAGCUGCGGCAGCGACACUGUGUGUUGUUGGGUAGGGGAGCGUUCUGUAAGCCUGCGAAGGUGUGCUGUGAGGCAUGCUGGAGGUAUCAGAAGUGCGAAUGCUGACAUAAGUAACGAUAAAGCGGGUGAAAAGCCCGCUCGCCGGAAGACCAAGGGUUCCUGUCCAACGUUAAUCGGGGCAGGGUGAGUCGACCCCUAAGGCGAGGCCGAAAGGCGUAGUCGAUGGGAAACAGGUUAAUAUUCCUGUACUUGGUGUUACUGCGAAGGGGGGACGGAGAAGGCUAUGUUGGCCGGGCGACGGUUGUCCCGGUUUAAGCGUGUAGGCUGGUUUUCCAGGCAAAUCCGGAAAAUCAAGGCUGAGGCGUGAUGACGAGGCACUACGGUGCUGAAGCAACAAAUGCCCUGCUUCCAGGAAAAGCCUCUAAGCAUCAGGUAACAUCAAAUCGUACCCCAAACCGACACAGGUGGUCAGGUAGAGAAUACCAAGGCGCUUGAGAGAACUCGGGUGAAGGAACUAGGCAAAAUGGUGCCGUAACUUCGGGAGAAGGCACGCUGAUACGUAGGUGAAGUCCCUCGCGGAUGGAGCUGAAAUCAGUCGAAGAUACCAGCUGGCUGCAACUGUUUAUUAAAAACACAGCACUGUGCAAACACGAAAGUGGACGUAUACGGUGUGACGCCUGCCCGGUGCCGGAAGGUUAAUUGAUGGGGU
rnacentral:rRNA from 1 species